rnacentral:piRNA from 1 species
AUGGACGUAUUGCUAGGGGAACUGGC